AAAGUGAAGAGUUUGAUCCUGGCUCAGAACGAACGCUGGCGGCGUGGCUAAGGCAUGCAAGUCGUACGGAUCGCGUGGAAGGCAACGGAAGCGCGGUUAGUGGCGAACGGGUGAGUAAUGCAUGGGUAACGUACCUGGUGCACAGGGAUAGCGGCGCCCCGCAAGGGGCUUUAGCGAAAGUGCCGGUAAUACCUGAUAACAUCUUUGGAACGCUUGUUUCGAAGAUCAAAGGUGGGGACCUUCGGGCCUACCAGCACCAGAUCGGCCCAUGUCCUAUCAGCUAGUUGGUGGGGUAAUGGCCUACCAAGGCAACGACGGGUAGCCGGCGUGAGAGCGCGACCGGCCACAUCGGGACUGAGACACUGCCCGGACACCUACGGGUGGCUGCAGCAACGAAUAUUCCGCAAUGGGCGAAAGCCUGACGGAGCGACGCCGCGUG
rnacentral:rRNA from 1 species